GCCUAGUUAGCUUAGUUGGUAGUGCGUCUGCCUUGUAAGCGCUAGGCCGCGGGUUCGAUUCCCGGC
rnacentral:tRNA from 1 species